rnacentral:rRNA from 1 species
CCGUUCGUACUGUAUCGGAUACAAAGUUUAGCAUGGCGGCUAGCCUGCCGAGCAUUGCGGUCCAGAAAAGGUCGUCGGUUCUGCACUCGGCUGAACUUUGCGCACUCCUGGGUGGUCAGUCGGUCGCACCGUGGCAUUUGGUUGGCGCAGAGGCGGGCGGGUAUAUAGGCGACCCAGGCAGGGUGCCAGGGGGUCGGGUUGGGUGUGGUUUGCCGUGCCGGUUUAGGUUUCGGUUCAGCGUGAGGAGGAGAGGAUAGGAGAAGGAGCGGCUCCGCCGCUGGCGUCGGGGCCUGCGACGGUGGCGGUGGGGGGCGCGCAGAGGCUAAGCCGCUUAAACCCCGAGUCCUUUCUCCUCCUCGCUGAAGAGAGACCACCAGCCUUUAAGUCCUGUUCUACGUGAAGGAACGUAGUAAAGUGCCGGGACGUCCAAAACUCGAAAACAGACAAAGCGACCCUACCUACGGUUCUUCAAGGACGUCUACCAGCUUCUGUUCUUCUUCUCUGAGGAGCUCUUCUUCCUUCGGGGUGACUUUACCGUCGUCUUUGACCUUCGCCGUUAAUUCCGGUGACUUCUCUUCCUCUUCUUCGAGUUCAGUUUUUUCGUGUCCUCCGCUUCGAUAAGAAGGAGUCUUAGACUGUCACUUAGGCUCUCGCUGUCGCUAGCCUUUGUGUCCUUCUCCUUCCUGGCGUCUUCCGUGUCCUUUGUACCGGUGAGACUGAGACUACCACGGUCCUCCGCGUUCGUGUCCAGUUUCUCCUCCUCGAGUCUGAGAUCGCUACUCUCGCUGUCACUACUUAUACUAUCGCUUAGACUUCUUCUCGCGGCUUCCUUCUUCGUGAGCGUGUCCUCCUUCGUAGCGGCAGUGAGAAGUUCCAGUCUCAGACUACGAAGUCUAAUGUCGUCGCUACUACUACUCGCUUCCAGUUGGUCCUUCCUGGUGUGAUCCUCGGCCUCCGCGGCGGUGGCUAGUAGUCUGCUACUUAGGCUCCUGUUCUAGUCCAGUUCCGUAUCCUUCGCGGUGUCUAGUUCACUGCUCCUGUUCGGUAGUCUAAGACUGUUGGUAUUCGCGGUGUCCUCGGCGAGAGACAGGAACCUACUACCUCGACGGCCACUCGGUCUGUUCUACUUACUACCGUUCCCCAGAGUGUUUUCGUCUGUGGGGGCGGCGGUGGUGGUAGUGGUAGUACUAGUGGUACGGUUGAAACGACUUGGGUCACUGCCCUUCGUUGAGCACAUUCAACGAUUACGGAGUCUUGGACUAACCGUAGAAGUGACCUGAGACACUGCCGUUACAAACGAACGGGGUCAACCGGUCAACGACUUACUUCCGCUACAUAGAAAGUAUUACAAUGACAGAGCCGAGACGACGCCGAAAGACUUCGGACAUGAACAACAUGGCUUUGUAAACCGCUUUGGUCUACAAUAAAGGUCGCAAAGGAGACAACAGUAUACAAACGAACGACUAAACCACCAAUUUGUACGGACAAAGUAAACGACGUUCAAGUGAUAACGUAAAAACAAACAACUCGGUAUGAUGCCACCUAGUAUACGACGAUACAGAUGUGUAAAAAACGCCCUAUGAUCGAUGCGCAUGUG